GGGGAUUUAGCUCAGUGGUAGAGCGCUUGUCUAGCAAGCGCAAGGCCCUGGAGUUCAGUCCCCA
rnacentral:tRNA from 1 species